rnacentral:rRNA from 1 species
UACGUAGGGUGCAAGCGUUGUCCGGAAUCAUUGGGCGUAAAGCGCGCGUAGGCGGCCCGUUAAGUCCGCUGUAAAAGUCAACGGCUCAACUGUUGAAAGCCGGUGGAUACUGUCGGGCUAGAGUACGGAAGAGGCAAGUGGAAUUCCUGGUGUAGCGGUGGAAUGCGCAGAUAUCAGGAGGAACACCUAUAGCGAAGGCAGCUUGCUGGGACGUUACUGACGCUAAGGCGCGAAAGCGUGGGGAGCGAACAGG